rnacentral:rRNA from 1 species
CGAGCGGUAGAAGUCCUUCGGGACUUCGAGAGCGGCGUACGGGUGCGUAACACGUGUGCAACCUACCUUUAUCUGGGGAAUAGCCUUUCGAAAGGAAGAUUAACACCCCAUAAUAUAAUGAUUGGCAUCAACUAUUAUUGAAAACUCCGGUGGAUAGAGAUGGGCACGCGCAAGAUUAGAUAGUUGGUGAGGUAACGGCUCACCAAGUCUGUGAUCUUUAGGGGUCCUGAGAGGGAGAUCCCCCACACUGGUACUGAGACACGGACCAGACUCCUACGGGAGGCAGCAGUGAGGAAUAUUGGACAAUGGGUGAAAGCCUGAUCCAGCCAUCCCGCGUGAAGGAUGACGGUCCUAUGGAUUGUAAACUUCUUUUGUACAGGAAUAAACCUACUCUCGUGAGAGUAGCUGAAGGUACUGUACGAAUAAGCACCGGCUAACUCCGUGCCAGCAGCCGCGGUAAUACGGAGGGUGCAAGCGUUAUCCGGAUUUAUUGGGUUUAAAGGGUCCGUAGGCGGGCCUGUAAGUCAGUGGUGAAAUCUCAUAGCUUAACUAUGAAACUGCCAUUGAUACUGCAGGUCUUGAGUAAAUUUGAAGUGGCUGGAAUAAGUAGUGUAGCGGUGAAAUGCAUAGAUAUUACUUAGAACACCAAUUGCGAAGGCAGGUCACUAAGAUUUAACUGACGCUGAUGGACGAAAGCGUGGGUAGCGAACAGGAUUAGAUACCCUGGUAGUCCACGCCGUAAACGAUGCUAACUCGUUUUUGGAUCUUCGGAUUCAGAGACCAAGCGAAAGUGAUAAGUUAGCCACCUGGGGAGUACGUUCGCAAGAAUGAAACUCAAAGGAAUUGACGGGGGCCCGCACAAGCGGUGGAUUAUGUGGUUUAAUUCGAUGAUACGCGAGGAACCUUACCAAGACUUAAAUGGGAAAUGACAGGUUUGGAAACAGACCCUUCUUCGGACAUUUUUCAAGGUGCUGCAUGGUUGUCGUCAGCUCGUGCCGUGAGGUGUUAGGUUAAGUCCUGCAACGAGCGCAA